rnacentral:rRNA from 1 species
AUUGAACGCUGGCGGCAUGCCUUACACAUGCAAGUCGAACGGUAACAGGUCUUCGGAUGCUGACGAGUGGCGAACGGGUGAGUAAUGCAUCGGAACGAGCCCAGGAGUGGGGGAUAGCCCGGCGAAAGCCGGAUUAAUACCGCAUACGACCUGAGGGUGAAAGGGGGGGAUCGCAAGACCUCUCGCUAUUGGAGCGGCCGAUGUCAGAUUAGCUAGUUGGUGGGGUAAAGGCCUACCAAGGCAACGAUCUGUAGUUGGUCUGAGAGGACGACCAGCCACACUGGGACUGAGACACGGCCCAGACUCCUACGGGAGGCAGCAGUGGGGAAUUUUGGACAAUGGGCGCAAGCCUGAUCCAGCAAUGCCGCGUGCAGGAAGAAGGCCUUCGGGUUGUAAACUGCUUUUGUCAGGGAAGAAAUCUUCUGGGUUAAUACCUCGGGAGGAUGACGGUACCUGAAGAAUAAGCACCGGCUAACUACGUGCCAGCAGCCGCAGUAAUAC